AGGGAAGAGCCACAGCUCUGGAGAGCACUCUUUUCUUCUGGUCCAUUAUUUUCCCUGAAGAGACCCCUGACGCCUAAAGCUGUCUGUGUCCCCACUGUGACAAGUUGAGAAUAAAAAAUCUUCAAACAAGAGGAGUCCAUCUGCUUGUCUUUAGAGGCAGCAAGAAAAUAAAUCUCUUGAUGGAGAUGGGGUCUCACUAUAUUCCCCAGGAUGGUCUCCAACUCCUGGACUCAAGCAAUCUUCCCACCUCAGACUACAGGCAUGAGCCACCAUGCCCAGCCAUAUUGUUCAUUUUUAACCCUGUCUCAGUGUGGCCUGCUCCCAGAACUGUUUCUCCUGACUUCUCAUUUCACCAAGAAGACAUGGACUCAGAAAAAUGAAGAGAGAAACACAAAGACACAGGAGCAGCAACCAAGCCCCUCUUCUCCAGGCAAUCAUCUGACUUCAAUUGGCAUAGACCCCUUAGGGGUGUGGACACUGUCUGAAAGUAUCUGGAGAGACCAAGUUUCAGCAGCCACUAAGCUGUCAAGGCUCUUUAAAAAUCUGAUUCCUGGCCAGGCACGGGGGCGCACGCCUGUCACCCCAGUACUUUGGGAGGCUGUGGUGGGCAGAUCACUUGAGGCCAGGAGUUCUAGAUCAGCCUGGCCAACAUGACGAAACCCCAUCUCUACUAAAAAUAUGAAAAUUAGCUGGGUGUGGUAGUGCACACCUGUAAUCCCAGCUACUCGGGAGGCUGAAGCAGGAGAAUCGCUUGAACCCAGAAGGCGGAGGUUGCAGUGAGCCGAUAUCGCACCAUUGCACUCCAGCCUGGGCAACAGAGUGAGAUUCUGUGUCAAAAAAAAAAAAAAAAAAAAAUCUGAUUCCACUGUUCUGAGUGUGAGGCUGUCCAAGCCUCCACUGUUUUUCCUCUGUGCUCUGAGCCCAGACUGAAAUCUGUAGAGAGUGGCAACGUGUGGGAUGGAAAGAAAAUGAGCUUUGAGGUCUAACAGGAAUGGGGCUGAAUCCCACUCCUGUGACUUAGGAGCUAUGACUUUCCCUGCAGGGCUCUGCCAUGAUUAAAGGAAAUAAUCUAUAUACAUGUGCCAGUGCACACAGUAGCUGCUCAAUAUAGGAAAGUAGUUUGUUUCGAUUCAUGUGAUUGUGAAUCUCGAACAUACCUGUGCUUGUAUCUUGUCACAGUCGCUUCGUCCCUGGGUGACAUCCAAUCCAUCCUUUCAGUCCUAGGUUAACUGAUACCUCCUCUGGGAAGCAGCACCUGAUUUCCAAGCCAAAUAAGACAUCACAUGGAAAUAUAACCAUGUCAUUGCCCCAUGCAAAAUUAUCUGGUGAUUCUCCAUUGCCUAGAGAACAAAAUUGAUGUCUCCUAAGCAAGAACAACAAGGCUCUUUCUGAUUUAACAAUUGCCCCCAGUUCUUCCCCAAACCCCGCCCUCAUUUAAUAUUCCAGCCAUAUGCAUCUAUGGUGGCUUCCUGAAUACAGCCAGCUCCUGCAUACUUCCCUAAUGCUAAGGUCCAUGCCAUCAAACUUAGGAGGUUGGAUCAACUUGCACUUGAAUUUCUGGAACACAAGCAUGCAAAAUGCAGAAACUGGCUGUACCCUGGUGACAGGGGAAAAGGCGUCCCUCCCAUGGGUGGAUCAGAAAUCAAGGGCUCUGCCGCUGCUCUUUGAGGGUAGUGGGUAAGAGUGUGGUCCUUGAACAGAAUCAAACCUGGCCUAACUCUUACUUGUCACUUACCAGCAAUGUAAUCUUGGCUGUGUCUCUGAACUCCCAUUUCUCUAUCUGGGGGAGGGAAAUGGUAAGAACACCCCUAAACUGUUAGAGGAAGGAAUGUCUGGCAUAUAGCAGGUGCUCAAUAAAUGUCCAUUCUUAUUAGAAUUUCUGGAAGAAACAGGCAAUGGUUCCCUGAAAUACCACUGGACUGUCACAAGCAUUUCAGUUGGGUUUCAUGCACUGUCUGAAGAGAUUGAUCCAAGCACCUUGGAUACAUCCGUAGCUCAACAUUAAAAGGCCAAGGUUAUAUCUUCCACUCCCAUCCUUCCCCUCCAGAGCCCCCCUCGGUGGAAAUGACAGAGUCAGGUAAGACACCUUCCUGGGGGAAAGCAUAUCUGCACUCAGGGAACAUGUUCAAGAAUUCAGCCUCUGCCUCUUCAGGCCUUAUAUGAUGUAUGGAUUACAGUAUAAAAAGAUCAAAUAUCUGGAGGCACAGGACUUGGAUUCUAAUCUUGGAUCCUAAUUCUGGCCCUGUUGGUUACCAGCUGUGUGAUCUUGGCUAAGUCACCUACCCUCUGUAAGCCUCAAAUUCCUCAUCUGUAAUAUGGAGGACCUACCUCACAAAUCAGAUGAUGAGAGGGAGAAUGUUUGGGGGUAUAGCCAUACUAUACAGUAUGGCUCAGGCCUAAGGUUCUUGAAUUUGCUUGUUUUUCCUCUUGGCCUAUUUUACUACAGGUUAAAAAUCUGUUAUCUGGCCAGGUGCAGUGGCUCACACCUGUAAUCCUAGCACCUUGGGAAGUCAAGGUGGGUGGAUCACUUGAGAUCUCAAGUUUGAGAUCAGCCUAGGCAACAUGGUGAAAACCUGUUCUACAAAAAAUACAAAAAUUAGCCGGGUGUGGUGGGGCACACCUGUAGUCCCAGCUGCUUGGGAGGCUGAGGUGGGAGGAUCGCUUGAGCCCAGGAGGCGGAGGUUGCUGUGAGCCAAGAUGGCACCACUGUACUCCAGCCUGGGUGAUAGAGCCAGACCUUGUCUCAAAAACCAAAACAACGACAACAAAAUCUCUCUUAUCUACAAUUCCAAAAUGCAAAAGCAUCUGAGAAACAAUAUUUUUUUGUAAUUCAUUUGGCUGCAAAACUUGUACUGAAUUGAUGAGUCCAUUUAUAGACUUUAUCCCACUUAUGAUGAAUAUUCAUCAGUUUUACUGCAGAAAUAAUAACGUGUUUGACUUGAGAAUGUUGUCUCAGUUACCUCUGGGGGUGUCAAAUACUGCAUGAGAUAUUCUGAAUUAUGAAACUCAUCUGGCCCCAUGAGUUUUGCUUAACAAGUUAUGGACUUAUAUUCUAGGAGUAUAUCCUAAUCUAUACUCAUUGAUGUAUCACCUGCAUGAUUUUGUCAUAUCCUUCUAACACCUGUAUUAAUACUUGCUUCAUACACUUUAGUUGAGUCCAUUUUUAUUUACUUUUCCAAAUGAACCUUGUUUAAAUGCACAGUGAAAAAUACCUAAUUAUUAAUAAAAAUGUUUGUCUACAUGACAUUUCAAAGCAUCCUGCUUAUCACAGUGAAAUGCACCCCACACUUUAAGCAACAGUCAUCUCAAACUAGCACAACGGGUUAGCUCUUAAAUAGUUGGAAUGCAAGCAAUAAGGGUGACAUCUGUGAGGUGGACUCUUCUUUGAGGUUUUCAGUUAUAAAUAUUCAGCAGUACAAUUCCACCAAAUGCUGGUUGCAUUCCUGCUGUGAACACGACACUGCUUAACCACAUAAGCUAUGAUGUUUUGUUGGAAAACCACAAACAGCCAGUAAAGAUGGCUGAUGGAGCGCCACUCAGAACAGCUUACCUAUGAUAAGUUCUUUCACAGACAUUCAUGUCCAUUUCCCUCGUUCACCAACAGGAGAGGUAGUAUUAGAAGAAUUUAAAACAAAAAACCAGGCCCACACGGAUUGAGAGCUUGACCCAAGAUCUCACAAGUUCCAGGCAGAGCUGAGAGUCCUGGAAUUCAGGUCCCUGCUGCUGACCUGGACAUGCCUCUGCUACAUAAAGCCACAGUCUUUCCUGCUCAGGGCACUGCUGACGCCACUUUCUGCCCUGGUUUAUACGUUAAUAUUCACAAAAGCUGCUGGGAGCCUGGACUUUCAUAAAACCAGCCUGCUCUCGGACUAAAAUACCCCCCUGUGGCCUAGUUACGAUCCUUUCCUGUUCUCCAUUAAAAAGCUCCGCAGUGGCUGAAGGGGUCUCACAAGGCUUUUAGAGGUUUAGCAAAUCUUCAAAAUGGACCAAGAAGAAUUGGUAACUGUCUUAGCAUUUUCCACAAAGUUAGAGAAACAGCAGUUAGUGGAAACAGGGCAAGGCCCAGAUAAUCUGUUCCAAGGCCACAUAUGACAUCAUAAUUUAGCCUUUUGGUAAUCAAAAAUUUCCCAAUGAUCCGAACAAGUAAAGGAAAAUCCCAACCCACCUGUAUUAGUCCAUUCUCACAAUGCAAUAAAGAACUGCUCGAGACUGGGUAAUUUAUAAAGGAAAGAUGUUUAAUUGAUUCACAGUUCCGCAUGUCUGGGCAAGCCUCAGGAAACUUACAGUCAUGGCAGAAGGGGAAGUAAAUAUGUCCUUCUUCACAUGAUGGCAGGAAAAUAACGCAGAG
rnacentral:lncRNA from 1 species